UACGGAGGGGACUAGCGUUGUUCGGAAUUACUGGGCGUAAAGCGCACGUAGGCGGAUUUGUAAGUCAGGGGUGAAAUCCCGGGGCUCAACCUCGGAACUGCCUUUGAUACUGCAAAUCUCGAGUCCGGAAGAGGUGAGUGGAAUUCCUAGUGUAGAGGUGAAAUUCGUAGAUAUUAGGAAGAACACCAGUGGCGAAAGGCGGCUCACUGGUCCGGUACUGACGCUGAGGUGCGAAAGCGUGGGGAGCAAACAGG
rnacentral:rRNA from 1 species